UCUACAUCCACCUAUAGUGCACCCUACAAUUUCAAUUUUAAUCCCCAAAUCAUUUCUUCACAUCCAUUCUCUCUCUUCCCCUAUCUCUUUAUACUCCGACCUCUAUACUCUUCGGCGGCUUCUUUCUCUACCCAACCCAUACUCUCCGACGCCAUGACAGAGGCGACGUCGACAGUGUGCCAAGUAGGUCAACAAGCUGUGCUUUGCGUCGACGAUCUGAUUGCCAAUGAGUUGUUCACCACUGCAUAGCCGCUAUGUGCCAUGCUUAUGCUUUUAGGGCCAAUUGAGGUGGCAUUAGGCUGAUUAGACCAUUUGGGCUUCACUUGAAGGUGGAAAUAUGGCAGCAGGGGUUGUGUUUGUAUUUUGUUUACUAGGUGUUCGAGUUGGGUUUAACCUAUAAGUGGAAUGGUGAAGGUGUUAGGAGCGGCGGGGGGGGGGGGGGGGGGGGGGGGGGGGAGGCGAAACAGAGGAUACCUCGAUUGGGGGAGAGAACGGGGAAAUCUCAUAUGACCUAAUAUAUUUGACAAGUGGCACUAUACGUCAACCCAAGCCUGCCCAACUGUUUGAGUUUCUACAAUAGGUGAAGUUGUGGAGAUGGUGUUGGUGGUAGGUUCGGUUGCCUGCCCAUCCGCUUGAGUUUCAACAAUAGAUAGAGUUGUGCAUAUUGUGUUGAUGGUACGGUUGGCUGCCUUCUCAACCAUUAGAGUUUCAACAGUAAAGAAAGUUGUUGAGAUGGGGUUAAUGGUGGUGAUGUGGCUAACCGAUUGAGUUUCAACUGUAGAUGGAGUUCUGGAUAUAGAGUUUUUGCACUUCCGACCGAUAGAGUUUCUAUUACCAAAUCUCUUAAAUCUGUGACAUGUCAAACUGCACUAGGUCACAAAUUCAAGAGAUUUGAUCACCUAAAAUUGGAUCAGGUCACGAUUAUAGAUAACAGAGUAUAUGUCAAAGUGCAUAAAUUACAGGUCACGGAUUCAAUAGAUUUAGUCACAAAUUCAAGAAAUAGUUCACAUGCCAUUGAAUCAAGUCACAUGUUAAGCGCAUAGGUCACAAGGCAUGCAUUCAAGAAAUUUGGUCAUAGACCAUUGGAUUAGGUUACAUGUCACAAAUCCAAGAGAUUUGGUCACGACCCCAUUUGAUCAAGUCACAAGUCAUAUGUCAAAGUGUAUGUCACAUGUCAUAAAUUCAAGAGAUCUUAUCACGUGCCAUCGAUUUCUCCGACCUUAGUUUCCAAACUACUCAUAAAUUCAAUUAAGAAAAUUUCGACAAUGAGAAUUGAAGUUAUUUGCUCUGGUAAGUAUUCU
rnacentral:lncRNA from 1 species